rnacentral:rRNA from 1 species
CAAAGCUUUUUUGCCAAACCACUGUGAACAGCUUAGACUUCGCGUCUUUGCAAUUGCUUGGGUGUCGAAAGGCGCCCAAUCUUUAAAACUUUUAUAUUUGUUCUGAAACAAUGAAAAUUUAAAACUUUCAACAACGGAUCUCUUGGUUCUCGUAUCGAUGAAGAACGCAGCAAAGCGCGAUAGGUAAUGCGAAUUGCAGACGUGAGUCAUUGAAUUUUUGAACGCAUAUUGCGCUAUUAGUUUGUCUAAUAGCAUGCUUGUUGGAGUGAUAAUCUUCCUCUCAACCAUUUUUGGUAUGAGGUCUUGCUCCUUUUAGGAGUUAAAAUCAUGGAAGUGCACACGUUAAUUAACUCUGUGCAGUUAUACACUUUUCAUCCUCCAAUCAAGCAAGGUUACCCGCUGAACUUAAGCAUAUCAAUAAGCGGAGGAAAGG